rnacentral:lncRNA from 13 species
CAGGCAAGGAGUGUGUCAAGGAAGGCGUCCUCCAUGCCCCGUGUGCUGGCAGGGUGGCCUCUUGGGCUGGCCGGGGCCCUCGGGGGUUGGGGUCGGCACUUCUGUCUGGCCCUUCCCCAGGAUUCAGAGUCCACCAGUAGGGAGGAAGAAAAGAAGGGUCGCUUUGAAUGGGUCACCUAUCCAACUGGGGAGAAAUUGGCAGCGAGGAGCUCAAGGUCAGCCCGAGCUCCACCUCCCGCCCCAGGCUGCAUUCCAGAACCGGAGGGGGUCCUGCCCUGGGAGAAAUCCGCUUAGCCAGAGGCUCGGGUUACAGCCCAGCUGCCAGCGAGGCCCUCCCAGCCUGACACCGAGGGCCGCCCGGACUUUCCCAACUCUGGCCCCGAUCCCGGCCCACCCUGUCCCCACCCUGGGACCUCCUCCUGGACCCUGGGCCUUCGUAAGGAGGAGGAAGGAGCUGGGAGGAGGAGAGAAAGGGAAGGCCCCAGCCCCAUCCUCUGUAGCUGUAGCUGAUGGAGGGUGGGGUUUGGGUUGCUUUUCUGGAAAGGGGCAGGGACUGUUGUUUUCUGCCCCGAGUCUGACCUCAGACCAAAGCUUGCCAGGAGAUGCCUGUUUUGAAAGAGGUGGGCUGCGGGGAGGGGGAUUCUUUCUUUCCUUGUAGGCCACAGAGUAUCUUCUCUUAUUUUUAGUACCUUUUCUUUUUAGUACUUUCUUGACGUCUAUUUUACAUUUGGUAAAAUGCCCUGAUCUUCAGCAUAUAGCCCACGAUUUCUUACAUUUUUGUUGGCAAGACAAGCAAUGGUUCCCUCGUGCCCCUCACACCCCAGAGGGACCCGCCAGCCUGACCUCCAUCACCGCUAACACUUUCGCGCGUUCACCCAGUUGAAAUCAGAGCAUGUGCUCUGCCACGCCUGGCUUCUUCCGCCCAGUGCACUGUUUGGAACCUGUCCCUGCCCACGCGUGUCUCUGUAGCCUCCCCUGCCAUUGCUCAGUAGUAUUUCCCUGUCUGCUCAUCCCCCUGCGGAUGGCCAGGCUCCUUGCUGUGGGUCCUGGGCUCUGAUGUGUGAAGCUGCUGUGUACCUGUCUUUGGGGAGAGGCAGGGACCGAUGUGACUUUGUAUUCCCCAAUGCCAAUCAGGAGCAGGCAUUGACGCAUGGCCCUGGCCCAGGCUGUUCCCUCAGCCGGGAGCCACUCUGCCCCAGUUCUGUGAGUGACUGGCUCCUUCUCAGCACUCAGGUCUCAGCCUAACAGUCACCUUCUCAGAGACGCCCUCCCUGACCACCUGGUCUCACAGCAUCCCCCACCCCUUCCCCCAGCUCUUGUUCUUUGGUUCUGUUGUCAUGGUUUUACAGGAACAGAGUCCUGAUCCAGACCCCAAGAGAGGGUUCUUGGAUCUGGGGUGAGUCUGUAGAGGAAAGUGAAAGCCAGCUUAUGAGGAAAGUAAAGAAAUAAAAGAACAGCCUGGCUGGGUGGUGGUUCA